AUCUCUCUUUCCAAAAUUCUUCUUCUUCUCUCCUCUGGUUGCCGACUUUUUUUUUUUUUCCUUCUUUCUUCUUCUUUCCGCUCAUCACCAUCGCUCUUUGCAGUCUCUCAGCCCAACGCCACUGUGUCUGCCUCUCUCUUCUCUCAAUCCAAAGCAGAAGUGUUCUUUAUGCCAGAUAUCAUUCCUCAGUGGCAUCUAAUUCUUUGGACGUUGUUGUAAACUUUAGGUUGGAGUUCAUUCAUUCAUUAUUAGGCUGGGUAGCGUAGGGCAUCAACUCCUCUCCACCAAGAUGGCUGGGCAGUUUGUAUUUGCAAACAUUGUCCCAUAAAUGAUCAAAUUACUGUCCCAUAAAUGAUUAAAUUGUCCAAACAAACCCACCUGACUCUGAUUGCCAACAACAUUAACGUCUCACCACAAUUUCCAUGCUAUCAAAAAUCAAACACCCCAACUUCCCCAACCACCCAUCUACAGCUCCAUUCGAUUUUCUGCAUCAAAUCGGCCCAACCCAAUAGUUCAUCUGUGAAAAAGAUCAUUGCUUUACGUUGUUGGACAGUCUAAUUGACCAUGGUGGAGACCUUACCACUCGGGCGGUUCCACCACCAAAGACUGGACUUGAAGCACUGGUUCUUGACCUUCUUAUCCUCGCACGAAACGGUCUUCACUGUGCUUUGGAUCGGGGCAUUUGCAUCAGUUUUUGUGUGGCUGAGGAAUAUUGUAGAUGGGUUUUCAAUAUUUAAGCGAGUUCCAGUGAGAGCCAUGCCAAAACUGAGACAUGUGGCUUUUAAUUUGACUGAUUUUGGGGCAGUGGGUGAUGGGGAUACUUUGAACACUGAGGCCUUCGAGAAGGUUGUGUUGGCUAUUUCCAAGCUGGGCCAAAAAGGCGGUGGUCAACCUAAUAUGCCACCUGGGCGCUAGCUUACAACACUAUUUAAUCUCACCAGUCACAUGACUCUAUUUCUUGCUGAAGAUGCUGAGAUUCUUGGGAGAAUGGGAGGAGAAAUCGCAGAAGGAAAGAGGAUGAGAGGGGGGGUGAGUUCUGGGUCUGUUCUUAGUUUCUCCUUUUCUUUAAUUUUUUAUAAUUUUGUAUUUAUUUUAACCCUAUUUUAUUUGUUAAUUAUGAAAAGUCAUAUUUACCAUAAA